rnacentral:rRNA from 1 species
CCCUACGGGGGGCAGCAGUGAGGAAUAUUGGUCAAUGGUCGGGAGACUGAACCAGCCAAGCCGCGUGAGGGAUGAAGGUACAGAGUAUCGUAAACCUCUUUUGUCAGGGAACAAAGGCGGGGACGUGUCCCCGGAUGAGUGUACCUGAAGAAAAAGCAUCGGCUAACUCCGUGCCAGCAGCCGCGGUAAUACGGAGGAUGCGAGCGUUAUCCGGAUUUAUUGGGUCUAAAGGGUGCGCAGGCGGCCUGUUAAGUCAGCGGUAAAAUCCCGGGGCUCAACCCCGGCGAGCCGUUGAAACUGGCGGG